UGUCUCAUUCUUUUUGAAAUUAUUAUUUUAAUUCAUUAAGUAAGCAAUGCUUGCAAGGUACAAAACUAGGAAGGUACAGAGGAGUAGUCAGUGAAAAAUCAAGUUCUUCCCCUUCUGUCUCCAGGUCUUUCAGUUCUUCUAUUUGGGGGUAACCACGGUUCCCAGUGUCAUGUUCUCCUUCUUGAGAUGGGCCGUACAUUGUGACUGAGUAUAUGUGAGGUGCAUGUGAGCAUGUAUACACACACACACAAACACACACACACACACACACUCUUUUUCUUAAUGGCUGUGUGGAAUUCCACUGCCUGCAUGGACUGCCGUUUCUGUAAUCACUCCUGUAUAAUGGGACAUUCCAUUAUUUUCAGUCUUUUGCCACCUCAAGCCAUGAGGCUGUAAUUAGCCUGCACAGACCCCUCUGUGCUCAGGUACGGAUGCAUCUAGAUACAUUAUCACUGAGCUCAAGAGCACGUGCACUGACAAUUUGAGGUACAUUGCUAAGUUUUCUUCCAAACGGGUUGCCACAUGCAGCUCCAUAGGGUUUCCACAAUGUCCAGGAGCUGGGCUGGCUAAGGAGAUCUGGGAAGCCAAGGGAAAGUCAGCCAAGUUUUUGGUCAGCCUUCCCUUUUGUGUCUCUCCUUCCAAAUUUUCAUGACCAGCCUUCUCUAGGCAGUGUGCUUGCUCUUGAAUCCCCAUCAAGCUGAGGCUCUGUUAACAGGCUUUAUUUCCAUUUAGUCCAUCAUGCCCCAAAGGUUCUACAGAAGAACACACUUCUGUAGAUAAAUAUGGAGGGUUAAAAAUUGCCUCCCUAAUCCAAUGUGCCUGAGCAAUGCUGAGUUAAGUGAUAUUAAAACAGGUGUUUUGUUGCAGGACUUAUCAGAACCUUUAACAUGCUAAUGAACAUUGGGAUGUCUAAGAGGUGUUAGAGUGUGUGGAGUUCAUCACAUUGCUUUGACCACGCAAGUUCAGAAAGGCUAAUACGGUUUCACUGCUGCAUUGUACUGAAUGGGAGACUAAAGCCCAAAGAGGAAAGGAUACAAUUAUACACACAGGAGGCUAUAGGAGCAGACACAACAAGGCCUGCGGUGGAUGCUGUUGGGGUCCCACCCAUAUUACCCUGUGAAAUUCUUAAUGUGAAGUACACAGUUACAUCAGUUUGAUAAAGGCAUACACUUGUGCAACCGAUAUCUCUAUUAAGAAACAAAAGGCAUCACCAGCACCACAGAAAACUUCAUUGUGCUAGUUUCAAGGAACCACAAAUCCCCCCUGUGGAGGGCCAACUCCAAACUCAUUUCCCACUCCAUGCUGGCAGUAGACAACAUGUCCCUCAUGCUCAUGCUCUCAGGGCUACUUCUGUCUGGAUGGCACAGAGAUGCUCACUGCAAUGAUUACCAGGCAGCCCAUUGUCAGAUGAAAUACUGUGGCACAGAGAAGACAAGCAACUCACCCAAGGUGGCACAGCUAGUAAGCAGAAGAGCUGGGAUUUGAACCCAGGCAGCCCACCUGGGAGGAAUUUUCCGGAGAUCACUGUCUGAUGACCCUGUCUAGGAAUUGGAGCCAUCCAAGUUACACUGACCGUGUUUGGGUUGGGAUAUUGAGGAGGCUGUGGUUAAAAGCAUAUGAUGGGAGAUCAUAUUGUACUUGUGAAUGAGAUCCGGCUGGAGGAAUGUUUUAGUUCUUCAGAAAUACCAACGGGUCUCUGAGUAUUCCUCCUGGUCCUUUGGGAUGCUGACAGAGGAGCAGAUAUACAGCAUCUCUGCCAUGAUAUAAGGGCUGCUGCGGUGCACAACUGUCUCCCUAGAAGGUGGGAGUGGCUCCACCACCUUGAGCUUCAGUUUCCUCCAGUGCCAUGGGAUUAGCAGCAGCCCUGCCUCACAGACGGUGCGAGGAUGAAAUGAGAUGUGCCGGAGUUGGCUGGUGCGGUGCAGGGUAUACAGAGAGUGCUCAAUAAACGUUCCCUGCUGCGAAUGCCCUGUCCUGGUUCACUCACCUGCAUUGUGGAGCAGAUGAACGAUCAGAACACAGGUUCAAGUGAGCUUCCCCAAAUUGGAGAACUAGCCAGCAACCAAGGCUGUGAUUCAAAUCCAAGAUCAACACACCAGGGGAGAGAUUUCUGCUUUUCCCCACUUGUCUUAGUCUAUUUGAGCUGGUAUCAGAGAAUACCUGAGACUAAGUAACUUACAUGCAGA